rnacentral:rRNA from 1 species
UAGGGAGGGGGCAAGCGUUAUCCGGAUUUACUGGGUGUAAAGGGAGUGUAGACGGUUCUGCAAGUCUGGAGUGAAAGCCCGGGGCUCAACCCCGUGACUGCUUUGGAAACUGUGGAACUAGAGUGCAGGAGAGGUAAGUGGAAUUCCUAGUGUAGCGGUGAAAUGCGUAGAUAUUAGGAGGAACACCAGUGGCGAAGGCGGCUUACUGGACUGUAACUGACGUUGAGGCUCGAAAGCGUGGGGAGCAAACAGG